rnacentral:rRNA from 1 species
AACGUAGGACGCGAGCGUUAUCCGGAGUUACUGGGCGUAAAGCGCGGGCAGGCGGUCUGACAAGUCUGAUGUGAAAUCUCCGGGCUUAACCGGGAGAGGCCAUUGGAAACUGACAGGCUGGAGGGCAGUAGAGGUAGGCGGAAUUCCGGGUGGAGUGGUGAAAUGCGUAGAGAUCCGGAGGGACACCAGAGGCGAAGGCGGCCUACUGGGCUGCACCUGACGCUGAGCCGCGAAAGCCAGGGGAGCGAACGGG